AUCCAGCUGACGAGUCCCAAAUAAGACGAAACGUAUCCUGGAU
rnacentral:hammerhead_ribozyme from 1 species